rnacentral:rRNA from 1 species
ACAUCCAGCGAACUUGGCAGAGAUGCCUUGGUGCCUUCGGGAACGCUGAGACAGGUGCUGCAUGGCUGUCGUCAGCUCGUGUUGUGAAAUGUGGGUUAAGUCCCGCAACGAGCGCAACCCUUAUCCCUUUGUUGCCAGCGAUUCGGUCGGGAACUCAAAGGAGACUGCCGGUGAUAAACCGGAGGAAGGUGGGGAUGACGUCAAGUCAUCAUGGCCCUUACGAGUAGGGCUACACACGUGCUACAAUGGCGCAUACAAAGAGAAGCGACCUCGCGAGAGCAAGCGGACCUCAUAAAGUGCGUCGUAGUCCGGAUCGGAGUCUGCAACUCGACUCCGUGAAGUCGGAAUCGCUAGUAAUCGUGGAUCAGAAUGCCACGGUGAAUACGUUCCCGGGCCUUGUACACACCGCCCGUCACACCAUGGGAGUGGGUUGCAAAAGAAGUAGGUAGCUUAACCUUCGGGAGGGCGCUUACCACUUUGUGAUUCAUGACUGGGGUGAAGUCGUAACAAGGUAAGCGUAGCGAG